GCUAACUUGAGGGUACUAGGUAAAGAAGCACCGGCUAACUCCGUGCCAGCAGCUGCGGUAAUACGGAGGGUGCAAGCAUUAAUCGGAUUUAUUGGGCGUAAAGGGCGCGUAGGCGGUUAUGUAAGUCAGAUGUGAAAUUCCGAAGCUCAACUUCGGAACUGCAUUUGAAACUACAUGUCUAGAGGAUAUGGCGGAGAAAAUGGAAUUCCACAUGUAGCGGUGAAAUGCGUAGAUAUGUGGAAGAAUCACCUGUGGCGAAAGCGAUUUUCUAGCUUAUUCCUGACGCUGAGGCGCGAAAGCAAGGGGAUCAAACAGGAUUAGAUACCCUGGUAGUCCUUGCCGUAAACGAUGUAUACUUGAUGUAGUUAGGCUCAACCCUGACUGUGUCGUAGCUAACGCGAUAAGUAUACCGCCUGGGGAGUACGCUCGCAAGGGUGAAACUCAAAAGAAUUGACGGGGGCCCGCACAAGCAGUGGAGCAUGUGGUUUAAUUCGAUGCAACGCGAAGAACCUUACCCAGGCUCGAAAUGUAAUGGACAUCUUCAGAGAUGAAGAGUUCCGCAAGGACUGUUAUAUAGGUGCUGCAUGGCUGUCGUCAGCUCGUGCCGUGAGGUGUUUGGUUAAGUCCAGCAACGAGCGCAACCCUUAUCAUUAGUUGCCAACACGCGAGGUGGGGACUCUAAUGAGACUGCCUAGGUUAACUAGGAGGAAGGUGAGGAUGACGUCAAGUCCGCAUGGCCUUUAUGUCUGGGGCUACACACGUGCUACAAUGGUCGGUACAGAAGGCAGCAAAGCCGCAAGGUGAAGCAAAUCCCAAA
rnacentral:rRNA from 1 species